AUCGUAUAGUGGUUAGUACAUUGCGUUGUGGCCGCAAUAACCCAGGUUCGAAUCCUGGU
rnacentral:tRNA from 1 species